GCAAACUUGGUCAUUUAGAGGAAGUAAAAGUCGUAACAAGGUUUCCGUAGGUGAACCUGCGGAAGGAUCAUUAAUGAAUUUUGUGAGGGGUUGUAGCUGGCCUUUUCGUUUGAGAGGCAUUUUUGUGCACACCCUGAUCAUCAUCCAUUUUAACACCUGUGCACACACUGUAGGUUGGUCUGUGGGGCGAGGUUCUUGUAAUGGGCUUUGUCUUGUGGGUCCUCCUAUGUCUUUUCAUUUACACACUACGAGUCAGAAGAAUGUCUUGUGCGUAAUAAAACGCAUCUAUAUACAACUUUCAGCAACGGAUCUCUUGGCUCUCGCAUCGAUGAAGAACGCAGC
rnacentral:misc_RNA from 1 species